UGGCUCAGUUGGUAGAGCAUGGUGUUUGCAACGCCAGCGUAGUGGGUUCGAUUCCCAC
rnacentral:tRNA from 1 species